rnacentral:lncRNA from 1 species
CUGAUUUAGCCCUACUUCGAGGUCAUCAGCUUAUCUCCAAUCUAAACCUUUCCUUGGCAGAGAAAUUCUUCACUUAAAGUCUAAAGACGCUCGCCAAAACGAUCUUCUAAAAUGUCGAUAAGUCGUCUAAAUUAUCCAAAACUUAGGAAAAACUAACACAUUUUUCAUGCUCGAUGAGGUGGCAAGAUUCGACAAUUAGGUUCAAGAACCGAGAAUGCUCAUA